ACAUGGGGUACACAGCGUGAUCGUGAAGAACGUCCGGAACAUCGAUUCCUCCGAGGGUGGGGAGAAAGACGGCCACAACCCCACGGACAAUGGUUUGCACAGUGGGUUUCUCACAGCCUCCUCCCUGGACAGCUACGGGAAAGAUGGUGCGAAGUUCCUGAAGGGAGACGUGCCUGCCUCCGAAGUGACUCUCAAAGACUUGGUGUUCAGCCAGUUCAGCUCCAUCUCCAGCGCCGAAGAGUUUGAUGACGAUGAGAAGAUCGAGGUGGACGAACCCCAGAUAAGGAGGACGUGCGCUCCAGCUUCAGAACCAACGUGUUGGCGUGUUCGGCUCCCCAGCAGGACUAUGAGAAGCUGACGGCACGUGGAGGGGAAGACUCUAGUAAAUCCGGACUCUCUAUCUCGGGCAAUGUGGAUCAAACCAAAGUCGUUAGAGAGAAACAGAAGCCAAUUCUAUAAACCUGAGUGUUUAUGGGUCUUUUAAAGUCAGGAACUAGCAGAGGAUAAAUUGAAGGAAAGCUCUGAAAAGUGCUUGAAAACAGAGUCCUGGAUGGGAAGCUGAGCUCGGAGAAGGACACCGGCCUCGCGGGCGUCGCGCCGUCCAAGACAAAGUUGUCCUCCAAGCUCUCGUCGUGCAUAGCUGCCAUUGCGGCGCUCAGCGCCACGAAGGCGGCUUCUGACUCCUGCAAAGAACCGGUGGUGGCCAGCUCGAGAGAAUCCUCCCCAUUACCCAAAGAAGCGAACGACAGUCCCAGAGCCGCGGACAAGUCCCCCGAAUCCCAGAGUCUCAUCGAUGGGACCAAGAAAGCAUCCCUGGAGCCACCAGACAGUCCCCGAAGCAUUUCAAGCGAGAACAGCAGCAAGGGGUCCCCAUCCUCUCCUGCAGGGUCCACACCAGCCAUCCCCAAGGUCCGCAUAAAAACCAUCAAGACGUCUUCUGGGGAGAUCAAGCGAACGGUGACCCGGGUGUUGCCAGAAGUGGAUCUCGACUCUGGGAAGAAGCCUUCCGAGCAGACGGCGUCCGGGAUGGCCUCUGUGACGUCGCUUCUGUCGUCGCCAGCCUCGGACACCGUCCUUUCCUCUUCCCCCGGGAGCCUCUCCAGUCAGCGGUCAUGACCAACGCGGUGUCUCCUGCAGAGCUGACCCCCAAACAGGUCACCAUCAAGCCUGUGGCUACCGCUUUCCUCCCCGUGUCUGCCGUGAAGACGGCAGGAUCCCAGGUCAUUAAUCUGAAGCUCGCUAACAACACCACGGUGAAAGCCACGGUCAUCUCUGCUGCCUCUGUCCAGAGCGCCAGCAGUGCCAUCAUUAAAGCCACCAACGCCAUCCAGCAGCAGACUGUCUGGUGCCGGCGUCCAGCCUGGCCAAUGCCAAACUCGUGCCAAAGACUGUGCACCUUGCCAACCUUAACCUUCUGCCUCAGGGUGCCCAGGCCACCUCUGAACUCUGCCAAGUGCUCACCAAACCUCAGCAGCAAAUCAAGCAGGCAGUAAUCACUGCAGCCGCCUUGCAGCCCCCCAAAAACGUGUCUGGAGUCCAGGUGGUUUCGUCCUUGCAGAGUUCUGUGGUGGAAGCUUUCAACAAGGUGCUGAGCAGUGUCAAUCCAGUUCCAGUUUACAUCCCAAACCUCAGUCCUCCCGCCAAUGCAGGGAUCACAUUACCGAUGCGUGGGUACAAGUGCUUGGAGUGCGGGGACUCCUUGCCGGAAAAGAGCCUGACCCAGCACUACGACAGACAUAGCAUGCGCAUCGAAGUAAUGUGCAACCAUUGCACAAAGAACCUCGUUUUUUACAACAAAUGCAGCCUCCUUUCCCAUGCCCAUGGGCAUAAGGAAAAAGGGGUGGUGAUGCAAUGCUCCUACUUAAUUUUAAAGCCAGUCCCAGCAGAUCAGAUGAUUGUCUCUCCCAAUAGUUCCACUUCUUCUUCCACUCUCCAGAGCCCCGUGGGAGCCGGCACACACGCUGUCACCAAAAUUCAGUCUGGCAUAACUGGGACAGUCAUAUCGGCUCCUUCCAGCACCCCCAUCACCCCAUACCAUGCCCCUGGAUGAAGACCCCUCCAAGCUCUGUAGACAUAGUCUAAAAUGUUUGGAGUGUAAUGAAUUCUUCCAGGACGAGACGUCGCUGGCCACACAUUUCCAGGAGGCUGCAGAUGCAAGCAGACAAAAGACUUGCACUAUCUGCUAGAUGCUGCUUCCUAACCAGUGCAGUUAUGCAUCACACCAGAGAAUCCAUCAGCACAAAUCUCCCUACACCUGCCCUGAGUGUGGGGUCAUUUGCUGGUCGGUGCACUUCCAGACCCACGUCACCAAGAACUGUCUGCACUACACACUGAGAGUUUGUUAUCAAUGUGUACAUUGCAACGUUGUGUACUCUGAUGUGGCUGCUCUGAAGUCUUACAUUCAAGGUUCUCACUGUGAAGUCUUCUAUAAGUGUCCUAUUUGUCCAAUGGCAUUUAAGUCUGCCCCCAGCACACAUUCCCAUGCCUACACACAGCAUCCUGGCAGCAAGAUAGGAGAACCAAAAAUAAUAUGUGUUCCAUGUGCGACACUGUGUUCACCCUGCAAACCUUGCUGUAUCACCACUUUGAUCAACACAUUGAAAACCAGAAGGUGUCUGUUUUCAAGUGUCCAGACUGUUCUCUCGUAUAUGCACAGAAGCAACUUAUGAUGGACCAUAUCAAGUCUAUGCAUGGAACAUUGAAAAGUAUUGAAGGACCUCCAAACUUGGGUAUCAAUUUGCCUUUGAGCAUUAAGCCUGCAACUCGGAAUUCAGCAAAUCAGAACAAAGAGGACACCAAAUCUAUGAAUGGGAAGGAGAAGUUGGAAAAGAAGUCUCCAUCUCCUGUGAAGAAAUCAAUGGAACCCAAGAAGGUGGCCAGUCCUGAGUGGACGUGUUGGGAACGUGACCGCCUGUUCACGCAAAGAGAUGUGUACAUAUCCCACAUGAGGAAGGAGCACGGGAAGCAAAUGAAGAAGCACCCCUGCCACCAGUGUGACAAGUCUUUCAGCUCAUCCCACAGCCUCUGCCGGCACAACCGGAUCAAGCACAAAGGCAUCAGGAAAGUGCACUGCCCGAACUCCAGGUGGCCCUUCACGAAGCUGCUGAUGUUGGAGAAGCACAUCCAGCUGAUGCACAGCAUCAAGGACCCCGAUGUGAAGGAACUGACAGACACCACCCAUGAGGAGGAGGUGGAGAUCAAGGACGACGUCAAGGUUCCUGGCCCCAAGAGGAAGCUUGAAGAACCCUCCCAGAGUUCAGGCCCCCUGAGGGGCGAUCACUCAGCUGCUGAAGAAGCUGAAGAUCAACGUUUUCAAGGUCCACAAGUGCGCCGUGUGUGGCUUUACCACCGAGCACUUACUGCAUUUCCACAAACACAUCCCUCAGUACAAGUCCGACGGCUCCUCCUACCAGUGCCGGGAGUGCAGCCUCUGCUACACAUCCCACGUCUCCCUGUCCAGGCACCUCUUCAUCGUGCACAAGCUGAAGGAGCCACUGCCCGUGUCCAAGCAGAACGGGGCCAGGGAAGAUGGCCAGCAGGAGAACAAGCCCAGCCACGAGGACGAGCCCCCUGACGGCGCCUUGUCAGACAGAAAGUGCAAAGUGUGCACAAAAACUUUUGAAACUGAAGCUGCCUUAAAUACUCACAUGCGGACACACAGCAUGGCCUUCAUUAAAUCCAAAAGAAUGAGUUCAGCUGAGAAAUAGCCACAGAUAUGCCAUCAGGAAAAUCUCUGUCCACAUUGGAAAUAAAAGACACCUUUUUGUUACAGAGAGUUUGCAGUAUAAUAGAGUUACCAGGACUGUCUAGGCUGUUGCAAUAUAUCCUCUUUUCACGUCCCUUCUUCACCUCGUCCUGUAUAUCCUCGAUAAGUAUGAAAACAGUAUUUGAGUUUAAAAGCGUUUGUAUAUAUUUAAAGAAUAACUUUUUAUACUCUUUGUUACAUGUUUGUAUCAGUAUUUAGUGGAAAACGUUUUGAGUUUUUUGGGGGUUCGAAUUUUUCUUUUUGUAUUGUUUCUUUAAAACAGAGUUCUUAGUAACAGGGGCAGUUCCAGAAUUCAAAUAAACCAUUUUGUAUGUU